AUUGAACGCUGGCGGCAUGCCUUACACAUGCAAGUCGAACGGCAGCGGGGGAGAAGCUUGCUUUUCCUGCCGGCGAGUGGCGAACGGGUGAGUAAUACAUCGGAACGUGCCCUGUAGUGGGGGAUAACUAGUCGAAAGAUUAGCUAAUACCGCAUACGACCUGAGGGUGAAAGUGGGGGACCGCAAGGCCUCAUGCUAUAGGAGCGGCCGAUGUCUGAUUAGCUCUGUGGUGGGGUAAAGGCCUACCAAGGCGACGAUCAGUAGCUGGUCUGUGAGGACGAUCAGCCACACUGGGACUGAGACACGGCCCAGUCUCCUACGGGAGGCAGCAGUGGGGAAUUUUGGACAAUGGGGGCAACCCUGAUCCAGCCAUGCCGCGUGAGUGAAGAAGGCCUUCGGGUUGUAAAGCUCUUUCGGCCGGGAGGAAAUCGCACAGGCUAAUACCCUGUGUGGAUGACAGUACCGGAAUAAGAAGCACCGGCUAACUACGUGCCAGCAGCCGCAGUAA
rnacentral:rRNA from 1 species